UACAGAGGCCUCGAGCGUUAGGCGGAAUCACUGGGCUUAAAGCGUGUGUAGGCGGACUUCUAAGUACCUUGUGAAAUCCCACGGCUUACCCGUGGAACGGCUGGGUAUACUGGGAGUCUUGAGCCACCUAGGGGCGAGUGGAACAAAUGGUGGAGCGGUGAAAUGCGUAGAUAUCAUUUGGAACGCCAAUGGUGAAAACAACUCGCUGGGGGUGUGCUGACGCGUGGAGACACGGAAAGCCCAGGGGAGCGAACGGG
rnacentral:rRNA from 1 species